rnacentral:rRNA from 1 species
UACAGAGGGUGCAAGCGUUAAUCGGAAUUACUGGGCGUAAAGCGUGCGUAGACGGUUAUGUAAGUCGGAUGUGAAAGCCCCGGGCUCAACCUGGGAAUGGCAUUCGAGACUGCAUAGCUAGGAUGCGGAAGAGGGAAGUGGAAUUUCCGGUGUAGCGGUGAAAUGCGUAGAUAUCGGGAGGAACACCUAUGGCGAAGGCAGCUCGCUGGGACGUUACUGACGCUGAGACGCGAAAGCGUGGGGAGCAAACAGG